rnacentral:rRNA from 1 species
AUUGAACGCUGGCGGCAGGCUUAACACAUGCAAGUCGAGCGGUAACGGGCCUUCGGGUGCCGACGAGUGGCGAACGGGUGAGUAAUGUAUCGGAACGUACCUUUCAGUGGGGGAUAACGUAGCGAAAGUUACGCUAAUACCGCAUAUUCUGUGCGCAGGAAAGCAGGGGAUCGCAAGACCUUGCGCUGAUUGAGCGGCCGAUAUCAGAUUAGCUAGUUGGUGAGGUAAAGGCUCACUAAGGCGACGAUCUGUAGCGGGUCUGAGAGGAUGAUCCGCCACACUGGAACUGAGACACGGUCCAGACUCCUACGGGAGGCAGCAGUGGGGAAUUUUGGACAAUGGGGGCAACCCUGAUCCAGCCAUGCCGCGUGAGUGAAGAAGGCCUUCGGGUUGUAAAGCUCUUUCGGCCGGGAAGAAAUCGUAUCAGCUAAUACCUGGUGCGGAUGACGGUACCGGCAUAAGAAGCACCGGCUAACUACGUGCCAGCCGCCGCCGUAACAC